rnacentral:rRNA from 1 species
UGUCUUUUAAAUAAAGACUAGAAUGAAUGGCCAAACGAGGUUCUACCUGUCUCUUACGAGUAAUCAGUGAAAUUGAUCUUCCUGUGCAAAAGCAGGAAUAACAUUAUAAGACGAGAAGACCCUGUGGAACUUCAAAUACAAAUCAACUAUCAUUAACACCUACACCUACGGGACCAACAUCAAACUAACAUCUGAUUUAUAUUUUUCGGUUGGGGCGACCUCGGAGUAAAACAAAACCUCCAAAAACAGAACUCUACCUAAACCUAGACCUACAAUCCAAAGUGCUUUCAGUAAAACGAUCCAAUAUAUUUGAUCAACGAACCAAGCUACCCCAGGGAUAACAGCGCAAUCCCAUCCUAGAGUCCCCAUCGACGAUGGGGUUUACGACCUCGAUGUUGGAUCAGGACAUCCUGAUGGUGCAGCCGCUAUCAAGGGUUCGUUUGUUCAACGAUUAAUAGU